rnacentral:rRNA from 1 species
ACUGAGUGGCGGACGGGUGAGUAACGCGUGGGUAACCUGCCCUGUACAGGGGGGAUAACAGUUGGAAACGGCUGCUAAUACCGCAUAAGCGCACGAGAGGACAUCCUCUUGUGUGAAAAACUCCGGUGGUACAGGAUGGGCCCGCGUCUGAUUAGCUGGUUGGCAGGGUAACGGCCUACCAAGGCGACGAUCAGUAGCCGGACUGAGAGGUUGAACGGCCACAUUGGGACUGAGACACGGCCCAGACUCCUACGGGAGGCAGCAGUGGGGGAUAUUGCACAAUGGGGGAAACCCUGAUGCAGCGACGCCGCGUGGAGGAAGAAGGUUUUCGGAUUGUAAACUCCUGUCGUUAGGGACGAUAAUGACGGUACCUAACAAGAAAGCACCGGCUAACUACGUGCCAGCAGCCGCGGUAAAACGUAGGGUGCAAGCGUUGUCCGGAAUUACUGGGUGUAAAGGGAGCGCAGGCGGGAAGACAAGUUGGAAGUGAAAACCAUGGGCUCAACCCAUGAAUUGCUUUCAAAACUGCUGGCCUUGAGUAGUGCAGAGGUAGGUGGAAUUCCCGGUGUAGCGGUGGAAUGCGUAGAUAUCGGGAGGAACACCAGUGGCGAAGGCGACCUACUGGGCACCAACUGACGCUGAGGCUCGAAAGCAUGGGUAGCAAACAGGAUUAGAUACCCUGGUAGUCCAUGCCGUAAACGAUGAUUACUAGGUGUUGGAGGAUUGACCCCUUCAGUGCCGCAGUUAACACAAUAAGUAAUCCACCUGGGGAGUACGACCGCAAGGUUGAAACUCAAAGGAAUUGACGGGGGCCCGCACAAGCAGUGGAGUAUGUGGUUUAAUUCGAAGCAACGCGAAGAACCUUACCAGGUCUUGACAUCCGAUGCAUAGUGCAGAGAUGCAUGAAGUCCUUCGGGACAUCGAGACAGGUGGUGCAUGGUUGUCGUCAGCUCGUGUCGUGAGAUGUUGGGUUAAGUCCCGCAACGAGCGCAACCCUUAUUGCCAGUUACUACGAAAGAGGACUCUGGCGAGACUGCCGUUGACAAAACGGAGGAAGGUGGGGAUGACGUCAAAUCAUCAUGCCCUUUAUGACCUGGGCUACACACGUACUACAAUGGCGUUUAACAAAGAGAAGCAAGACCGCGAGGUGGAGCAAAACUCAAAAACAACGUCUCAGUUCAGAUUGCAGGCUGCAACUCGCCUGCAUGAAGUCGGAAUUGCUAGUAAUCGCGGAUCAGCAUGCCGCGGUGAAUACGUUCCCGGGCCUUGCACACACCGCCCGUCA